rnacentral:rRNA from 1 species
UACGUAGGGGGCGAGCGUUGUCCGGAUUUAUUGGGCGUAAAGAGCUCGUAGGCGGCUUGGCAAGUCGGGUGUGAAACCUCCAGGCUCAACCUGGAGACGCCACUCGAUACUGCCAUGGCUAGAGUCCGGUAGGGGACCACGGAAUUCCUGGGUGUAGCGGUGAAAUGCGCAGAUAUCAGGAGGAACACCGGUGGCGAAGGCGGUGGUCUGGGCCGGCACUGACGCUGAGGAGCGAAAGCGUGGGUAGCAAACAGG